rnacentral:tRNA from 1 species
AGUGGGAUAGAGCAGAUGGCAGCUCGCUUGGCUCAUAACCAAGAGGUCGGAGGUUCAAGUCCUUCUCCCGCAA